rnacentral:rRNA from 1 species
ACCUAAUAGAUACCCUGGUAGUCCACGCUGUAAACUAUGAUCACUAGACGUUAUUUCUGCUUGCAGAAAGUAGUGUCGUAGCUAACGCGUUAAGUGAUUCGCCUGGGAAGUACGGUCGCAAGAUUAAAACUUAAAGGAAUUGACGGGGGUCCGCACAAGCGGUGGAACAUGUGGUUUAAUUCGUCAGUACGCGAGGAACCUUACCUAGGUUUGACAUGUAUAUGACCGCUACAGAAACGUAGCUUUCUAAAGUUCGCUUUAGACAUAUACACAGGUGCUGCAUGGCUGUCGUCAGCUCGUGUCGUGAGAUGUUGGGUUAAGUCCUAUAACGAGCGCAACCCUUACUAUCAGUUGCUAUCCUUCGGGAGCACUCUGAUGGGACUGCCUGGGAAACCAGGAGGAAGGUGGGGAUGAUGUCAAGUCAGCAUGGUCCUUAUGCCUAGGGCUACACACGUGUUACAAUGGCCAAUACAAAGGGCUGCGAACUCGUAAGAGGAAGCUAAUCCCAUAAAGUUGGUCUAAGUUCGGAUUGA